GUUAUCCUACGGGGCGCAGCAGUGGGGAAUAUUGCACAAUGGGGGAAACCCUGAUGCAGCAACGCCGCGUGAGUGAUGACGGCCUUCGGGUUGUAAAGCUCUGUCUUCAGGGACGAUAAUGACGGUACCUGAGGAGGAAGCCACGGCUAACUACGUGCCAGCAGCCGCGGUAAUACGUAGGUGGCGAGCGUUGUCCGGAUUUACUGGGCUUAAAGGGAGCGUAGGCGGCCUUUUAAGUGAGAUGUGAAAUACUCGGGCUCAACUUGAGUGCUGCAUUUGAAAUUGGAAGUCUAGAGUGCAGGAGA
rnacentral:rRNA from 1 species